AACAUUUUAAAUUGUUUUUGUUAGUUGGUAUUUUCUUACAAUUCAAUGAAGUUUUGUAAGGACUUAUUAAACUAUCUCAGAUUUUUGAAAGGCAGACUGACUUAUCCAGCAUUGUUAAUUACUUCAUAACAAACUACCCCACAACUUAGGGGCUUAAAGCAGUGAGUUACUAUUUUUCCUGCAUCUGUGGGUCAGAAGUUGGGGCAGCUGGGAUUACAUGGCAGGGCCGUUCUCCCGGUCUCACUUGUGACUUCCCAUGUGGCUGUUUUCCCUUCCAGCCAGGCGGGAGGGCCAUAAUAGCCUUCACUCAGGUGGCUGCACGUCAACUUUCCUGACACAGCCUCCACGUGGUAUCUUUAGCAGCGUAGCCGGACUUCCCUACAACAUGGCAGCUGGCUUCCAAGAGGAGGAAGAAGUGGCAGCUGCCAGUCCUCACAGCUCCUAGAACAACACUUGAAAACAAUCCCAAGAAACUCUGGGAGGUUGUGGAUCAUGGAGGAGGAGGAUGACCUUCCAUUGCAAUCCUGGCAGGCUUCGGAGUCCAGCGGUGCCCAUCGCAAAAGAAACCAGGCUGCUAAUGGGCACCCCAGGCUGUCUAGUGUAUACCCCAAAGCAAAGAAAGCCUUGUGUGUACUUGUCUAAAGGAAUUAACGAAAUUGUCUGGAGUGAGCUCAUGCCUUCAGCGUGGGUGUUAGCACCCCAAGUUAAAGCCGUCCUUAUUCUCUCAUUGCCUGGCUCCAGUUCUCACAGCCGGACCCCAUUUGUGCACUGUACAGUGAUGUCUGCCUGCAAGGCCCUGUUCUGCAUGCCUCAUGCGUGUGAACUCAUUUGAUCUCUACUCAGUUGCAAUACCAUUCGUUCCAGUUUACAGGCAAGGAAACUCAGGCAUGAAGAUACUGUUUUGCUUAGGAUGUCACUUUGCUGAUGACAGAGCCCACGCUCUUAGUCACAUCUCUUACUGACUCCCGAACCUUUGAAAGCAAAAGAUACCCAACACUCACUUUAAUUCCUUAACACCUUAAUUUCUAUGGGUGGGACUACUCUCUGUCUAAGGGAGACUCAGGGAUACAAAAAUAGCUAUGCCUGGGGGUGAUAGGCGAUAGUGAUAAUGGCAUCUCCAAACGUUCCAGCCAACUUCCUGAAGGGAAGGUUCAAGAAGAUUUGGCACCCAUUGAAUGAGAAGACAGGGGUCCUGGCACCUCUGUGUCAGCACCUAGAGGGGCAGUGUGGAGAUAUAUUUACGGGAACUGGAUGUAUUUCUGGACAUUUGCUUACUUGGGCCAUUUAAAAUUAAAUACCUGUUUUGCACUUAA